GGGGAUGUGGUCUAGUGGUAUGACGUUUCCUUAGCAUGCGAUGAACUUAUCAUUCAAGAGCAUGGAAAAGGUUCUGGGUUCGAUUCCCAGCCUCUCCA